AUUGAACGCUGGCGGCAGGCCUAACACAUGCAAGUCGAACGAGUGGCGGACGGGUGAGUAAUGUCUGGGAAACUGCCCGAUGGAGGGGGAAAACUACUGGAAACGGUAGCUAAUACCGCAUACCAUCGGAUGUGCCCAGAUGGGAUUAGCUUGUAGGUGAGGUAACGGCUCACCAAGGCGACGAUCCCUAGCUGGUCUGAUAGGAUGACCAGCCACACGGGGACGGAGAAACGGUCCAGACUCCUACGGGAGGCAGCAGUGGGGAAUAUUGCACAAUGGGCGCAAGCCUGAUGCAGCCAUGCCGCGUGUAUGAAGAAGGCCUUCGGGGUGUAAAGUACUUUCAGCGGGGAGGCGUUACCCGCAGAAGAAGCACCGGCUAACUCCGUGCCAGCAGCCGCGGUAAUAC
rnacentral:rRNA from 1 species